UACGGAGGGUGCAAGCGUUAUCCGGAUUUACUGGGUUUAAAGGGUGCGCAGGCGGAUAUGUAAGUCAGUGGUGAAAUCUCUAGGCUUAACCUGGAAAUUGCCGUUGAUACUAUAUAUCUUAAAUGCUGUGGAGGUAAGCGGAAUAUGUCAUGUAGCGGUGAAAUGCUUAGAUAUGACAUAGAACACCUAUUGCGAAGGCAGCUUACUACGCAGAUAUUGACGCUCAUGCGCGAAAGCGUGGGGAUCAAACAGG
rnacentral:rRNA from 1 species